AUUGAACGCUGGCGGCAUGCCUUACACAUGCAAGUCGAACGGCAGCACGGGAGCAAUCCUGGUGGCGAGUGGCGAACGGGUGAGUAAUGUAUCGGAACGUACCGAGUAAUGGGGGAUAACGCAGCGAAAGCUGUGCUAAUACCGCAUACGCCCUGAGGGGGAAAGUGGGGGAUCGCAAGACCUCACGUUAUUCGAGCGGCCGACGUCUGAUUAGCUUGUUGGUGAGGUAAUGGCUCACCAAGGCGACGAUCAGUAGCGGGUCUGAGAGGAUGAUCCGUCACACGGGUACUGAGACACGGACCCGACUCCUACGGGAGGCAGCAGUAAGGAAUAUUGGUCAAUGGAGGGAACUCUGAACCAGCCAUCCCGCGUGAAGGAUGAAGGGGCUCUGCCUUGUAAACUUCUUUUGCAUGGGACGAAAAACUUAUUUAUUAAGGACUGACGUACCAUGAGAAUAAGCACCGGCUAACUCCGUGCCAGCAGCCGCGGUAAAG
rnacentral:rRNA from 1 species